GGGUUUGAUCAUGGCUCAGGACGAACGCUGGCGGCGUGCUUAACACAUGCAAGUCAAGGAGAACGGAUCCUUCGGGAUACUAUUAAACUGGCGAACGGGUGAGUAACGCGUAGGCAACCUGCCUUGGAGAUUGGGAUAACCCCGGGAAACCGGAGCUAAUACCAAAUAAUGCAGCGGAUCCUUCGGGAUAUGUUGUUAAAGUGGGCUUCGGCUCACACUUCAAGAUGGGCCUGCGUCCGAUUAGCUUGUUGGUGAGGUAAUGGCUCACCAAGGCGAUGAUCGGUAGCUGGUCUGAGAGGAUGAUCAGCCACACUGGGAUUGAGAUACGGCCCAGACUCCUACGGGAGGCAGCAGUGGGGAAUUUUGCGCAAUGGACGAAAGUCUGACGCAGCAACGCCGCGUGAUCGAUGAAGCUUCUAGGAGUGUAAAGAUCUGUCGUGAGGGAAGAAAAAUCUGGAUGUAAAUAAUGUUCAGACGUGACGGUACCUCACAAGAAAGCACCGGCUAACUUCGUGCCAGCAGCCGCGGUAAUACGAGGGGUGCUAGCGUUGUCCGGAAUUACUGGGCGUAAAGGGUUCGUAGGCGUCUUGCCAAGUUGAUCGUUAAAGCCACCGGCUUAACCGGUGAUCUGCGAUCAAAACUGGCGAGAUAGAAUAUGUGAGGGGAA
rnacentral:rRNA from 1 species